GACGAACGCUGGCGGCGUGCUUAACACAUGCAAGUCGAACGGAAAGGCCCUGCUUUUGUGGGGUGCUCGAGUGGCGAACGGGUGAGUAACACGUGAGUAACCUGCCCUUGACUUUGGGAUAACUUCAGGAAACUGGGGCUAAUACCGGAUAGGAGCUCCUGCUGCAUGGUGGGGGUUGGAAAGUUUCGGCGGUUGGGGAUGGACUCGCGGCUUAUCAGCUUGUUGGUGGGGUAGUGGCUUACCAAGGCUUUGACGGGUAGCCGGCCUGAGAGGGUGACCGGCCACAUUGGGACUGAGAUACGGCCCAGACGCCUACGGGAGGCAGCGGUGGGGAAUAUUACACAAUGAGCGGAAGCCUGAUGCAGCAACGCCGCGUGCGGGAUGACGGCCUUCGGGUUGUGAACCGCUUUCGCCUGUGACGAAGCGUGAGUGACGGUAAUGAGUAAAGAAGCACCGGCUAACUUCGUG
rnacentral:rRNA from 1 species